UUUAUGGAGAGUUUGAUCCUGGCUCAGGAUGAACGCUGGCGGCGUGCCUAAUACAUGCAAGUCGAGCGAACAGACGAGGAGCUUGCUCCUCUGACGUUAGCGGCAGACGGGUGAGUAACACGUGG
rnacentral:rRNA from 1 species